UGGGGAAUAUUGCACAAUGGGGGAAACCCUGAUGCAGCGACGCCGCGUGAUUUAGAAGGCCUUCGGGUUGUAAAAAUCUUUUCUAUGGGAAGAAAAUGACAGUACCAUAGGAAUAAGGACUGGCUAAUUACGUGCCAGCAGCCGCGGUAAUACGUAAGGUCCGAGCGUUGUCCGGAAUCAUUGGGCGUAAAGGGUACGUAGGCGGGUAAGCAAGUUAGAAGUGAAAUCCUGUAGCUCAACUACAGUAAGCUUUUAAAACUGCUCAUCUUGAGAUAUGGAAGGGAAAGUGGAAUUCCUAGUGUAGCGGUGAAAUGCGCAGAUAUUAGGAGGAAUACCGGUGGCGAAGGCGACUUUCUGGCCAUAAUCUGACGCUGAGGUACGAAAGCGUGGGUAGCAAACAGG
rnacentral:rRNA from 1 species